rnacentral:rRNA from 1 species
AAUGAACGUUGGCGGCGUGGAUUAGGCAUGCAAGUCGAGCGGGUGUAGCAAUACACCAGCGGCGAAAGGGAGAGUAAUACGUGGAUACCUGCCCCGGCCUGGAUAGCUUCGGGAAACUGAAGGUAAUACCAGAUAACGUCUCCGGACCAAAGGUGUGAUUCCGUCCGGGGAGGGGUCCGCGGCCUAUUAGCUAGUUGGUGAGGUAACGGCCCACCAAGGCGAAGAUGGGUACGAGGCGUGAGAGCGUGUCCUCGCUCACUGGGACUGAGACACUGCCCAGACACCUACGGGUGGCUG